CUCAACAAAUCCUUGAACAAAUGAACAGGUACAUUUGCUGUGACUGAAUGGACUAACCAAACUGUCCUUCCCUUUGGAUUCUGCCAGAAUUGUAUAGACAUACCUAUAAGUAAGAGAGCUGGGAAAAUAGCUAUUUUGUUUUUAAAUAUUUUGUGUUUCUUUCAUUCGCGUACUUUAUUUCCUGCAAUUUUUGAAAACAAGCAACUUUAAUUUGUAACAAAAGGAUUAAAUAAAUAUCCUCCCCCGCCCUUUUUUUUUUGAAUCCUGCUAUUUUUUGACAAGGAGAGUGGGAAGGCCAUUGCCCCAAGGCCACUGUGUUGCCCACUUUUUUUCCAGCUGUUCACAGAAUGUAGUCACUGGCCUUGCCCUCACCCUGGCCCCAGGUGGGCAGAUACUUGGCAGGCAGCCCCUUUCUCUAGAGCAGUCUCAGAGGCUCUCUGCUUGGCAGAGGUUUAGAGUGGGGGAAGGGAAGAAGUCCUGGUUCAGUGUGACCAUCCCUACGGCUCAGCUGCAGCCCCUGCGGUGGUUAAGUGUCAUCCCCGCAGGGCAGAAAAAGCAGAACAGAAGACUUCUCUUCCCCUCCUCCUUCCUCCCCCUCAAACAUACUUCUGGGUUCUGUUCAUCGGCCAGAUCACCGUCUGAUCUUUAUCCGGAACCUUUGCCCACGGGGCCCUUUCUACAUGCUGAAGGCAAAAGAACCCCAGAAUGAGAGGAGAUUCUUAGCUUUCAACACCCUCAGAAGCUCAUCAUUUGGGUCCAGAACUCCACUGUUUCUAUGCAGAAUGAGAGGAGAUUCUUAGCUUUCAACACUGUCAGAAGCUCAUCAUUUGGGCCAGGCAUGGUGGCUCACGCCUGUAAUCCCAGCACUUUGGGAGACUGAGGAAGCAUCGCUGCACAAACCUCUGUUUCUACACUUCCAUUCAAUCGGCUCACUUUUCUGCUCUUGGUACCCUUCGUUUCUUGUGAACUCUCCAGCAGGAGUGACUUGCAAUUUGUAUACACUGACAUUUAAGUUCUUGGAAGUGCUGGAGAAGCGUAUCAAAGUAAAUUAUCCUGAUGUAUAAUUUUGUGCAUGUAAAACUCACAGUGGAAGUGCCUGUUCUAAUUUCAGUACGGAACACAGAUAAACAUUUGGAUUAAUAAUCCAGUUUUGAAAGCGUACUUUAUUUAAAGUACAAUGUGCUGAAAAAAUGAAAAAAAGAAAGGGUGCUUUCAAAUUUGUACCUAGUAAACUUUCACUAGAUCACAUCGUAUGUUUAUCACGAGUCAUGUAUGUGUUGUAUUUCUAUGUGUAAUCGUCAGGCACUUUUAAUUUCUAGUUUGCAUUUACCAUGCCAGCCUCCUCCUCAACCCCAAAUUUCCUUUGGUUAUAAAUUUAGUAAAUUUGAAAGAGCCAGCAGGGAUUAAACCCUGAAGGAAUUCAAAUGACUCUCUGACUUUAUUCCUCAUUUCAGUCAUUUCAAAAAAUUAUGCUUUCAUUUAGGAUAGGCUCUGGGAAUCAAAGUGUGUAUAUUUUGCCCAAGUGGAAGACACAGUUUAAAGUUAACAUCCUAGCUACUAGAAGGGAAAGCGAACAACAUCGCUGGAAAAGGAGCCUAUCGUUUUUACCUUACACUAAAACUACAUUGCGAAGAUCAAAAGAAAUCAGGAUGAGAGUGUGCCUCUUAAUGCCAGGCCCAAAGUAGAUGCUUAUUAAAUGAGUCAAUCCUUCACAAAUGGUUGAUAGGUCUUACUAUUUCUCCCCUAUUCAAAUCUAGAAUUUGUUCACUCCCAUAUACUAAUCGAUAGUGAAUGGAAAG